CUGAGGCGUGAUGACGAGGCACUACGGUGCUGAAGCAACAAAUGCCCUGCUUCCAGGAAAAGCCUCUAAGCAUCAGGUAACAUCAAAUCGUACCCCAAACCGACACAGGUGGUCAGGUAGAGAAUACCAAGGCGCUUGAGAGAACUCGGGUGAAGGAACUAGGCAAAAUGGUGCCGUAACUUCGGGAGAAGGCACGCUGACACGUAGGUGAAGUGAUUUACUCACGGAGCUGAAGUCAGUCGAAG
rnacentral:rRNA from 1 species